rnacentral:lncRNA from 1 species
CCAACGAUGCAAAUCUACCCUUGACAUGAAUAGUCCUCACAACUCUUAUAAAAACUUCUUCUUUUCAGCCAUUUGGGAGGGAGGGGGGAGGGUGGGGAAACCCUAACAGAAGAGGGAAGGUUGAUCGUGAGAGAGAGAUAGUGAAAUCGACUUAGAGGAGAGUAAGUCAAACAACGAGAUUCUAGAGAGGAAGUAAGAUCUUAAAAUAGCUAGUAUGAUCGAGAGAAGGAUGGGUGGAAAGAGUACGAACAUCUAAAGAGGAACCGAUGAAAUUGCGUUGCGGCGUCACCAUGGAGGACUUGAGAGAGAACCAACAUUGCAAGUAAACAUCCACGCGGUGACAGGAAGUAACACAAAUUUUGGUUUCAAACACCAAAAUUGAGAUUUAUAUUUUUAAAUUCCUUCUUUCAAAGGAUGUAUGCAUGAUUGGGAUUGAAAAAAAAAGGAAAAAUAUUUGAAAUUUUUGUAGAAUGCUAGAUCGUGCAUCAUAAAAGGCUAAAACUGAAAGUGUAUAUAGAUAUGUGAUGAUGCAGCAACAAGGUAAGAGAAUUGAGGGUGAAAGGGUUUCAUGAUAGAAGGCAGACAUGUUGGAGAAAAUUAAUUAGAGUCUUAAAAACUAAAAAAUAGGAUGAAUGGCUAAAAGUAACUCGGAAGAAUAAAUCAGAUCUGCUAAAGAGAGAGGGACAGCUGAAUGUAAAUUAAUUUAAGAAUAAAAAAAUGAAAAAAGUAUG